AACGAACGCUGGCGGCAGGCUUAACACAUGCAAGUCGAGCGCCCCGCAAGGGGAGCGGCAGACGGGUGAGUAACGCGUGGGAAUCUACCCAUCUCUACGGAAUAACGCAUGGAAACGUGUGCUAAUACCGUAUACGUCCUUCGGGAGAAAGAUUUAUCGGAGAUGGAUGAGCCCGCGUUGGAUUAGCUAGUGGGUGGGGUAAAGGCCUACCAAGGCGACGAUCCAUAGCUGGUCUGAGAGGAUGAUCAGCCACACUGGGUUUGAGACACGGCCCAGACUCCUGGGGGAGGGAGCAGUGGGGAAUAUUGGACAGUGGGCGCAAGCAUGAUCCAGCCGUGCUGCGUGAGUGAUGAAGGCCCGAGGGUUGUAAAGCUCUUUCACCGGUGAAGAUAAUGACGGUAACCGGAGAAGAAGCCCCGGCUAACUUCGUGCCAGCAGCCGCCGUAACAC
rnacentral:rRNA from 1 species